CAGCAGCCACGGUAAUACGAAGGGGGCUAGCGUUGUUCGGAAUUACUGGGCGUAAAGGGCGCGUAGGCGGCCAUUCAAGUUAGAUGUGAAAGCCCUGGGCUCAACCUAGGAAUUGCAUUUGAUACUGUUUGGCUUGAGUUCGGGAGAGGUGAGUGGAAUUCCCAGUGUAGAGGUGAAAUUCGUAGAUAUUGGGAAGAACACCAGUGGCGAAGGCGGCUCACUGGACCGACACUGACGCUGAGGCGCGAAAGCGUGGGGAGCAAACAGGAUUAGAUACCCCGGUAGUCCCUGUCUCUUAUAC
rnacentral:rRNA from 1 species